AACGAAGAAGGCUCUGGUUACCUGCACUCUGUGAGUUGCUUCAGAAUAACUUCGAUUAUUGGGUUGCUCAUAAUGUGGUAUGGAAUAUGCUGGCCUGUGCUUAUUCGACAUCUGAAAUGGUUGCUGAUGCUCUUUUUGUUCUAUCCAAGAUGAAAGAUUUGAAUCUUCAAGUUUCAAUAACGACAUAUAAUAGUGUGUUGCUCUGCUUUACUGAUGUUUACAAUGAAAUAAAGGCUUCCCAAAGUGAAUACACAAAUUCUAUCCUUAUCAAUGGUCUAUGCAGACCGAUCUUGGUGCGAGAAUCUGGAACUUCUGUUGUUUGCUUCAAUUUCAGAUUGUUGAAAAUUCUCUUAUUACUCACGCACAUU